UAGAGCGAGAUGGAUUUUGUCCAACAUUCUGCACAUUUUCUCAUUGAUUAAACAUUUGAUCUCAGUACAGUUUCCUGUUCUCCAAACUACAAUGUUACAAAGAGUGUGGACUACGUUUUGCAGACUUUACCAAAAACAUUUUUAAAUUGCGUUGUUUAGGAGUACUAUGGCGAAUUGAGUUAUUGCACACCCUCGCUUGGCGGUCCUUAACGGAAAUAGGCAAAUAAAUGCUAGAAAGCGCCAGUAGGACCUCGCUAUGAUUAAUUUACCCCCGUUGGAAACCCAGGAGCCAUUCGGAAGAACCUGCAACCCGGGAUGCCACGUAUAUGAGUUGGUCAGAUUUAGAUCACCUGUUACCUGAAAGGGGUCUCCGAUUGUGAAAGCGGGAGUUGGCAGCGCACAGGGGAAAGGGAUCGCUUCAGUGAGGGUCGACAGACUCCGAGCAGCUGUCUCAAAGCCAGCCCUUAACUUCAAGUCACAAGACUGUUCCAAAAGCUGAACCCUGGGCUGACUACUGUACCCUACCACACACUUACUAUUUAUUAAUGUUCUGCACUCUGAAAUUACUUUUGUCUACCAGACCAAUAGUUGUCACCUUACUGCACUACUAAUGUGUAUAUACUUUCAUAUAUUCCAAUGCUGCUACUGCACUCACUUUGCACAUGGGCAAUGUCUCUACAGGCUAUAAAAAAGUAGUAUUUUAAUUUAA